rnacentral:tRNA from 2 species
GUGUCUGUAGCUCAAAGGUUAGAGCGCCUGACUGUGGAUCAGGAGGCUGUGGGUUCGACCCCCAUCAGACACCCCA